CUCUAUGUAUGAGUUACUAGGAGGGCUCAGCCUCAGUAUGAGUAUACACUAGAUGCUCUAUGUAGGAGUUAUGAGGACAGCCUCUGUAUAUGUAUCCUCCAUAUGCUCUAUGACGAGUUGAUGUGAGCUUUGUAUGAGUUACCAUGAGGACUCAACCUCUGUAUAGGCUCUAUAGAUGAGUUAAUGUGAGAACUCAGCCAUCAGUAUAUGUAUCCACUAGAGGCUCUAUGUAAGAGUUAUGAGGUCUCUGCCUCUCUAUAUGUAUCUACUAUAUGCUCUACGACGCAUUGAUGUAGGGACUCAGCUUCAGUAUAUGCAUCCACUUUAUGCGCUAGGUAUAGUUACUAUAUAGACUCAGUCUAUAUACCCACUACAUGCUCUAUGUAUGAGUUUUUAAGAGGACACAACCUCU